rnacentral:lncRNA from 1 species
UCUGAAAUUUGGUUUAAGGGUUAAUAUAAGUCAGCUAUACUCUGUGAUGUGUUUUCAGAUUCAUCACUCGACAACUUCCUGUUUACCGAACACUUGCAUAUUUUUACACAAUUAAUAUUAUCCACUUGCGGCGGGGGUAUCAUCAGAGAGCAGUAGCUCGCAGUUUCACUUGUUUCUUUCUUUAAUUUAUACAGUAAUGUAAAUUGAUUUAUAAGUAAGAUAAGUUAAUCAUAUGCCAUUUCGUCAAUUUUACCACAUAAAUGUUUACCUUCUUCUAAUGAUAAAAAAAAUUGGGAAAAAACGAACACACCAUGUCUAACAAAUAAAACAUUGACAUUGAACGUGUUUACUCUGAAUUGGUUAUGGUGAAGUAUUGUAAUUUUUCAAAUUGUGUGGGUUUUUUUUUUUUUAUUCUAUUAUUAACUGUAAUUGAGAUUGUACUUUUCCAUUAGGCC